rnacentral:sRNA from 1 species
UUAUCUCUCAAGAGUACUUCUCAACAAACCUCCAGAGUCUAGCAUUCCAUCCAGAAGCAUAUGUCUGAGAAACUCAGCCAAAGACACCGGGUUACCAAAAGAGUAUCUAAAGAGACUCUUGAAGGUCCUGGUCAUGAAGGAGAAGAACACAGUAGAGACCAAAAAGUCUGUAAAGAACAUCCUCCAGGAGCCUUCCACAAUGAAUCUGCUGCUGAUACAUCCUCCACCCCUUUACCCCCUACCAUAGCCCUGUUCCCCUAGCCCCUCCACAGAGAUCUCCCUUGAACCUUUGCCCAACAUCCCUUUACCCCUUCUUCCUCCAGCCCCAGCAAGGGGAGAGCAUGAGGGGGGAACCUCAAAACUGGGACUGGCCACGGGGACCAAAAGCAAGAGAGCCACUUCACCUAAUACAAAAGUGACCCUCCCCCUCUGAGUCUACAGCCCAUAGAUGACAAUGGCAAUCAGGCCAUAUAAUAUUGGCCCUUCUCUUCUGCCAACUUGUACAAUUGGAAGGCACAACACCCCCUUCAGAUAAUCCCAAGGGGUUGAUUUUAUUUACUCAUCAUCCCACCUGGGAUGAUAUUCAACAACUCACGAGAGUGCUUUUCAUGACUGAAGAGUGAGAGAGGAUAAUGCAGGAAGCCAGAAAGAAUGUCCCCUUUGAGCAGGUUGUCAUCGACAGCAGAUUUCUCCUGACUAGACCUGGCUGGGACUUUAAUACAGCAGAAGGAUCACCUCUAUUCCUGAGAGGAAUAUGCUACUUUCUAUGUUGUUUAUCCCAAUGACUGUGCUUAGAUGACAUCAUCCAGAGAUGGUGGGAACCCUGGACAUAAUGCCAGAGUGUUUGCAAGGGGGCCCAGUGAAGAAACUGCCAAUAUGACCAUUCCAUGAUAUGGGAUCCAAAAGAAUCUUCUGGGUGAGUGGCUGCAAGUGUACAACCCACCAGAAGCUAAGGAGUGAAGACAAAACUCACCGCUACAAUAAGGUCAUGGACGGUCAUGAAGAGAAGCAAAUGACAGAGUUGGUUGAGCACUUUGACCAUUGACUGUCUCACCUUCUCUAGUGCUAGUCCAGCAGACUGCUGAGAUAUAUCACCAGCAACAUAAUUAUUUGCUGAGAAUGAAACUGUAAUGGGCUCUACUGAUCAUUUGAUAGCUUCCCUUUCAUCUAUAGAGGUGGCCAGAGUAAACUUUCUCAAGAUGGCUCUCCUCCUGUGGCCUUGGCUCUUCAUUACUUCAGGUACGACUGUGCUGAAGUGUUCCGCUGCUGUGGACGUGCUUUCUUCCUAAACAAAUGGUAGAAGCUGUGAGAUGUUCUCCUCCUCAGUUUCCCUAUCCUUAUUCCCCUAUGUCACCUAAGCAAUGGUGGAAUGUAGUUGAAGCAGAGUUUGGACCAGCAACUGAAGAGGUGGGGCCUCUCCUGGGAGUCCAGGUGUUGAGGAAGCAGAGGAUGCUUGAUAAGUGGAGCUAUGGAAACAGAGCCAGAAGCUUUAUUCUGACUUUGCAGCUUCAGGAAGCUCAGACCCAACAGAGCUUGGUGUCAACAUUCUUUAGUAUCCUCAGGAAUCAUCUACAGAACGCACUCCUAAAAUCAAUAUCAGGGUCAGCCUCUCCUAAUUCCCCUCUUACAUAUGGCACUCUACUGCUGUGGUUCUUAACCUUCUUAAUGCUGCCACACUUUAAUACAGUUUCUUAUGUUGUG